rnacentral:rRNA from 1 species
CCCUUAGAUGUUCUGGGCCGCACGCGCGCUACACUGACGAUGGCAACGAGUUUUUCCUUCGCCGAAAGGUGUGGGUAAUCUUUUGAAACAUCGUCGUGCUGGGGAUAGAUCAUUGCAAUUUUUGAUCUUGAACGAGGAAUUCCUAGUAAGCGCGAGUCAUCAGCUCGCGUUGAUUACGUCCCUGCCCUUUGUACACACCGCCCGUCGCUACUACCGAUUGAAUGUUUCGGUGAAGAUUCCGGAUAGGACUUUUUUGAUUUAUUUCAAUUUUGUCUUAAAAGCUAUCUAAACCUCAACAUUUAGAGGAAGGUGAAGUCGUAACA